rnacentral:rRNA from 1 species
GAUGAACGCUGGCGGCGUGCUUAACACAUGCAAGUCGAACGAUGAAGCCCAGCUUGCUGGGUGGAUUAGUGGCGAACGGGUGAGUAACACGUGAGUAACCUGCCCUUAACUCUGGGAUAAGCCUGGGAAACUGGGUCUAAUACCGGAUAGGAGCGUCCACCGCAUGGUGGGUGUUGGAAAGAUUUAUCGGUUUUGGAUGGACUCGCGGCCUAUCAGCUUGUUGGUGAGGUAAUGGCUCACCAAGGCGACGACGGGUAGCCGGCCUGAGAGGGUGACCGGCCACACUGGGACUGAGACACGGCCCAGACUCCUACGGGAGGCAGCAGUGGGGAAUAUUGCACAAUGGGCGCAAGCCUGAUGCAGCGACGCCGCGUGAGGGAGGACGGCCUUCGGGUGGUAAACCGCCUUCAGUAGGGAAGAAGCGAAAGUGACGGUACCUGCAGAAGAAGCACCGGCUAACUACGU